rnacentral:rRNA from 1 species
CCUACGGGGGGCUGCAGUGGGGAAUUUUGGACAAUGGGCGCAAGCCUGAUCCAGCAAUGCCGCGUGCAGGAAGAAGGCCUUCGGGUUGUAAACUGCUUUUGUCAGGGAAGAAAUCCUCUGGGUUAAUACCUCGGGGGGAUGACGGUACCUGAAGAAUAAGCACCGGCUAACUACGUGCCAGCAGCCGCGGUAAUACGUAGGGUGCGAGCGUUAAUCGGAAUUACUGGGCGUAAAGCGUGCGCAGGCGGUUGUGCAAGACAGGUGUGAAAUCCCCGGGCUUAACCUGGGAACUGCACUUGUGACUGCACAGCUAGAGUACGGUAGAGGGGGAUGGAAUUCCGCGUGUAGCAGUGAAAUGCGUAGAUAUGCGGAGGAACACCGAUGGCGAAGGCAAUCCCCUGGACCUGUACUGACGCUCAUGCACGAAAGCGUGGGGAGCAAACAGGAUUAGAUACCCCGGUAGUC